UAAACAAUGAGGUUACAUGAACCGACAAUUGGUUUGCGAAGGUUUUAAUGUGGCGGUUACUAUAACCUCCGCAAUCUAUAUCAAAUUGUGGGGUUUAUUUACUCCCGCAAAUAUUUUUUAUUUACGGCGGUCGGUAACCUCCGCAAUCAUUUAAAAAAUAGCGCCCACUAAUCCCAAUAUGUUUCCCUUAUUUUUUAAUCUUUUCCCUCUCUUUUUUUCCCAAAUCCCUUUCUUAUUUUCGCUUUUUUCAUUUUCAGAAACUCUCACCCACUCUCACUUAAUCAAAACCCAUAGCAAUAUUCCAUUUCUUCUUCACUUAAUCAAAACCGCGGAUCUCUUUUCCUUCACUUAAUCUCUUCCAUUUCUUCUUCAUUUUCUCCGAUUUCAAGCCCGUGUAGUUGCAAAAUUCCAAAUACAAUAGUUCUCUGCUUUUCUUCAACGGCUCCUCUUUCUUCAGCGCCUCCUCUGUUGCAAAAUAAAAGAGAUAUGAAAGAAAACUUUAGAUCUAUCAAUCAAUUGGAUAAUCGGUGUAUUUUGAAGAAAUUUGGUAGAAUCGGUGUAUUUUGAAGAAGGAUAUAACACUCUUUGUUGAAUUGAGAUAACUUCUGGGGACCUUCAGAGAAAUGCAAUUGUCGCCGACUGCUUUUCCUCUUUCUGCUCUACGUUGUGUUUGAAUCAGUCUCAUGGUUACAAUACCUUUUAAUGGAUAAAUCUUGGAUUGGAAUGCCUAGAAAUACAACAAAGUAUUUACUUGGUUUGAAUCAAUUUCUAAAUUUUGCAUUUAAGAAUGCUUCUAUAGGAGAUAGAAUAAAAUGUCCAUGUCCUAAAUAUAAUUUUGGGAAGUGGCAGACUAGAGAGAUAGUGUACGAUCAUUUGAUUAGCAAGCCAUUCCCUCAAAAUUAUGUCACUUGGAUUCUUCAUGGGGAAACAGAAGUGUUGGAGAACUCUAGAAGCACAAAGGUUAUCCCAGAUGCACUGCCUCCUAAAAAUCCUAUGGAAUUGUUGAUAAAUAAAGCAUUCUCGAGUUUAAGGUAUGAGGGCAUUGAUGCAGGUCCGUCACAAGUAGUUGGAGAAGAAGAUAUAUUAAAUGAUCUGCAUUCUUCAAAUAACAAAGAAUUUUUUGAGUUGCUUAGAGAUGGAAGUGAAGAAUUAUAUGAAGGGUCCAAGUACUCGAAGCUAGAAUUUUUGUUGAAGUUGUAUCACAUAAAGUGUUUGUCUGGGCUAAGUGACAAGGGAAUGACUAUGAUGCUAGAUUUACUGAAGGAUGUAUUUGGAUUUGCAAGGACACCUAAUUCUUUUUAUGAGGCCAAGAAUACCAUCAAAAAGCUUUGUCUUGUUUAUAUCAAGAUAGAUGCUUGUCCAAACGAUUACAUGUCGUACUGGGGAGAUGAUGCUAAUGAGGAAACAUGCAGGUAUUGUCAUACUUCUAGAUGGAGGCCAACUAAGAAGAGAAACAAUAAUCAUAUGUUCUGUAGCCAAGUGAUGCGGCUAGCAGAUCCAUUUCACCUAUGGAUAUAAGAAGAUCAUCCGGUGGAAACAAUCCUAACGACAACCAUUGAGGUGCUUGCAAAUGUAUUAGAUAAUUACGUAUUGUAUUCGAUUGAAUGGCCAUAGUAGAUCUUUUAUCCAUAAUGGUUGGAAUGGAUGUUUUGUUUAAUGUUAGUUUUAAGACUAAUUAUAAUAUUGAUGUUUUAUAUUUAAUGG